rnacentral:rRNA from 1 species
AUACGGAGGAUGCAAGCGUUAUCCGGAUUUAUUGGGUUUAAAGGGCGCGUAGGCGGUUUGCUAAGCGGGAGGUGAAAUGCCGGCGCUCAACGUCGGAAGUGCCUCCCGAACUGGUGGACUGGAAUGACUCUGCCGUGGGAGGAAUGUGUAGUGUAGCGGUGAAAUGCUUAGAGAUUACACAGAACACCGAUUGCGAAGGCAUCUCACGAAGGGUUGAUUGACGCUGAGGCACGAAAGCGUGGGGAUCAAACAGGAUUAGAUACCCUGGUAGUCCACGCAGUAAACGAUGAUGGCUAACCGCUGGUUUAUUCGGAUCAGUGGCCAAGCGAAAGCGAUAAGCCAUCCACCUGGGGAGUACGACCGCAAGGUUGAAACUCAAAUGAAUUGGCGGGG